UACGUAGGGUGCAAGCGUUGUCCGGAAUUAUUGGGCGUAAAGAGCUCGUAGGCGGUUUGUCGCGUCUGGUGUGAAAAUCCAGGGCUUAACCCUGGACCUGCAUCGGGUACGGGCAGACUAGAGUGCGGUAGGGGAGAUCGGAAUUCCUGGUGUAGCGGUGAAAUGCGCAGAUAUCAGGAGGAACACCAACGGCGAAGGCAGCACUCUGGGCCGGAACUGACGCUGAGGAGCGAAAGCGUGGGUAGCGAACAGG
rnacentral:rRNA from 1 species